UACGAAGGGGCUAGCGUUGCUCGGAAUCACUGGGCGUAAAGGGUGCGUAGGCGGGUCUUUAAGUCAGGGGUGAAAUCCUGGAGCUCAACUCCAGAACUGCCUUUGAUACUGAGAUCUUGAGUUCGGGAGAGGUGAGUGGAACUGCGAGUGUAGAGGUGAAAUUCGUAGAUAUUCGCAAGAACACCAGUGGCGAAGGCGGCUCACUGGCCCGAUACUGACGCUGAGGCACGAAAGCGUGGGGAGCAACAGGGA
rnacentral:rRNA from 1 species